CCUACGGGAGGCAGCAGUGGGGAAUAUUGCACAAUGGGCGAAAGCCUGAUGCAGCAACGCCGCGUGAAUGAAGACGGUUUUCGGAUUGUAACCUUCUGUUCUUAGUGAAGAAUAAUGACGAUAACUAAGGAGCAAGCCACGGCUAACUACGUGCCAGCAGCCGCGGUAAUACGUAGGUGGCAAGCGUUGUCCGGAAUUACUGGGUGUAAAGGGAGCGUAGGCGGGAAGCCAAGUCAGCUGUGAAAACUACGAGCUUAACCUGUAGACUGCAGUUGAAACUGGCUUUCGUUAGUGAAGUAGAGGUUGGCGGAAUUCCGAGUGUAGCGGUGAAAUGCGUAGAUAUUCGGAGGAACACCGGUGGCGAAGGCGGCCAACUGGGCUUUAACUGACGCUGAGGCUCGAAAGUGUGGGGAGCAAACAGGAUUAGAUACCCCAGUAGUC
rnacentral:rRNA from 1 species